GACGUAGGGCGCGAGCGUUGUCCGGAUUUAUUGGGCGUAAAGAGCUCGUAGGCGGUUUGUCGCGUCGGGAGUGAAAACACCGGGCUUAACUCGGUGCUUGCUUUCGAUACGGGCAGACUAGAGGUAUGCAGGGGAGAACGGAAUUCCUGGUGUAGCGGUGGAAUGCGCAGAUAUCAGGAGGAACACCGGUGGCGAAGGCGGGUCUCUGGGCAGUAACUGACGCUGAGGAGCGAAAGCGUGGGGAGCGAACAGG
rnacentral:rRNA from 1 species